rnacentral:rRNA from 1 species
AUACGGAGGGUGCAAGCGUUAUCCGGAAUCAUUGGGUUUAAAGGGUCCGUAGGCGGGCUAUUAAGUCAGAGGUGAAAUCCCACAGCUCAACUGUGGAACUGCCUUUGAUACUGAUAGUCUUGAGUUACAGUGAAGUAGAUAGAAUAUGUAGUGUAGCGGUGAAAUGCAUAGAUAUUACAUAGAAUACCGAUUGCGAAGGCAGUCUACUAACUGUAUACUGACGCUGAUGGACGAAAGCGUGGGGAGCGAACAGGAUUAGAAACCCUUGUAGUCC